AAGCGCUUGUGACCAGACUUGGGCUCGGUUAAUCAUCCAGCGUUCUCGCUGGUGCACUUUGCCGGUCCAGGCCAGCAUCAGUUUGCCGCGGGGGAUAAAGGCUUCGGGAACGUGGCUCCUCCGGGAGUGUUAUAGCCCGCUGCGUAAUACCCUGCGGUGGACUGAGGUUCGCGCAUCUGCAAGGAUGCUGGCGUAAUGGUCAUCAGCGA
rnacentral:rRNA from 1 species